UAGGGAAUAUUGGGCAAUGGAGGGAACUCUGACCCAGCCAUGCCGCGUGCAGGAUGAAGGCGUUAUGCGUUGUAAACUGCUUUUUAUAUAGGAAGAAAUAGUCCUUGCGAGGAAAGUUGACGGUACUAUAUGAAUAAGCACCGGCUAACUCCGUGCCAGCAGCCGCGGUAAUACGGAGGGUGCAAGCGUUGUCCGGAUUUAUUGGGUUUAAGGGUGCGUAGGCGGUUUAUUAAGUCAGUGGUGAAAGACGGUCGCUCAACGAUUGCAGUGCCAUUGAUACUGGUAGACUUGAGUAUGAUUGAGGUAGCUGGAAUGGAUAGUGUAGCGGUGAAAUGCAUAGAUAUUAUCCAGAACACCAAUUGCGUAGGCAAGUUACUAAGUCAUAACUGACGCUGAGGCACGAAAGUGUGGGUAUCAAACAGGAUUAGAUACCCCCGUAGUCCCUGAGCGGGCUGGCAAGGCGCAU
rnacentral:rRNA from 1 species